UGUAUUCUUCAUUAUGUCUCAGAUAAACCCAUUAACAAUGACAUUGCCUUCUGAGCACAGAUGGCAAUACAGUUACCAUUGCCAUUACUAUUACCUUUGUAAUAACAAUUCAGUGCUGUACACCUUUCUCUCUUUCCUCUUUUUGUUUCUCUAUCUCUUUAGUGUCACCAUUUUCUUGAUGCAUCAAGCUUAGGAGAUACUGAGGUCAUCAAUGAGUCUUGCAUUCAAGCUUGCUGUCUUUCAAAAUUAGGACACUGUACAUAAACUUGCAUUUUUGUGUUCUUUUUAUAAUGUUGUAAUUGUUUUUGUUACCUAAAAUAAUUAUUCUUUAAUACUAUAAUGCGAUAGCAGUCCAUGAACUGAUGCCACAA